UCCUGCAGCCCUUUGACUUUUGUCAUCACUUUCUUUCAGAUGCAGAGGGAUUAUGACUGUGGCAGAGCGCCCUGUACCUGGAGAGGGGGUUCCUGCAGGAAGGAAGUAAAGCUGGAUAUUGAUGUUUAAGGUCGAUGGAGCGAGCGGUCCACUCGCAAGAUGUCCUGGCCCAGAAUGCCAGGGGCCAGGUGCUGCCACCGCCCUAGGCGUGCCAAGGAACAGAGGCGAGCAGGCCACUCGGCAUUUAGGCGGGGCGACUAAUAAGAGAGCGGUACGCGGCGGCGUGUCAAGCGUGUACCUUUUCACUUUGCGGGUAUCGUCCAGGCCACCUCCAGAGUCGGAUGAAGAUUUGAGGUAAGAUGAGCUGGUGUGGAGCUCAAGUUUGGAAACGGCCGCCUCCAAAGCGGACUACAGGGAAUGUACCGAUGUCCACACCGCCCACGUGUUCUUUUCUGUCGAGCACAGGUUUUUUCCGCUCAUCUCUGAAAGCUAAGUGUUGGGACCCAUGGUCUGGAGAAGGGAAAAGCCUUUGGAAUCACAGGAGGCAAUUUGAAGUUAGCUUAGAGGAGAGGGCUGUAGCGGGCGGAGCCCCUUGGAAGUUAAGGGAGAAGGUUUCUCCUCAGCAUCACCCCACCCUUUGCCGGGCACAGCAGUUCCAUACCCACGUUUUUGUGAGCUUUGUGUCAUCUGCCCUCUUUGAGUCUCGAUGUCAUCGCGGGUCUUUUCACCCGAGGAGCUCGCCUUUGGGUCCGGAGCCGUCACCCGGCAGUCAUCACCUCUUUCUCUAGGCCUACUGAGCUUCUUGAGCAUCCUCUUAACAGCUUUGGCACUAACUUCUUGUAAGGAGUUGUUUCACCAUCAAGUGCUAUUGCCGUAGAGCCUCUUUUCCUUUGGCAUCGUCGCUUUCUGGGUCAUCUUGCAGCAGGAAUCUUGGGUCCAUCAGGUGAAACUGCUGGGCAGUUUUAACUUCUCUCUGUGUUACGUAGUUUGUGUCUAUGUUGUGUAGUUUGUGUCCAUCCUCUUCCGUGUCAUAGGGCUUUGUUAUGUCUCAAUGCU